rnacentral:rRNA from 1 species
UACGAAGGGGGCGAGCGUUGUUCGGAAUUACUGGGCGUAAAGGGCGCGUAGGCGGCCCCUUUUGUCGCGUGUGAAAGCCCCGGGCUCAACCUGGGAGGUGCGCGCGAAACGGGGGGGCUUGAGUUCGGGAGAGGUGAGUGGAACUGCGAGUGUAGAGGUGAAAUUCGUAGAUAUUCGCAAGAACACCAGUGGCGAAGGCGGCUCACUGGCCCGAUACUGACGCUGAGGUGCGAAAGCGUGGGGAGCAAACAGG